CCUACGGGAGGCAGCAGUGGGGAAUAUUGCACAAUGGGCGCAAGCCUGAUGCAGCCAAUGCCGCGUGUAUGAAGAAGGCCUUCGGGUUGUAAAGUACUUUCAGCGGGGAGGAAGGUGUUGUGGCUAAUAACCGCAGCAAUUGACGUACCCGCAGAAGAAGCACCGGCUAACUCCGUGCCAGCAGCCGCGGUAAU
rnacentral:rRNA from 1 species